rnacentral:lncRNA from 1 species
CUAAUCUGUCAAAUAAUUCAUUUAAAAUUUUAUUUGGCCAAUUAACUUGAGAAACACGGUGAAUCGUUCACCGCCUCCAGAAAGCGGUGAAUGAAUCGCUGUUUUCAUCUUGUUAUAUUUUUUUCAUAAAUUGUGAGAAUUUUUGUGAGGUUGUUAAGAUUUUAUGAGGAUUACUUGAAUUUUUAUUUGAUGGUUAAAAUUGUAUAAAUAUAUUGUCAGGAUAUUUUAAGUUGUAUGAUUAUAUGUGAUUUAUUGAAAUCUAUAUGUUGUUGUUAAGAUUAUAUAUGGAAUAGAAAGAAACGGCAAAUCAUUUACCAUUUUCUUCUUUAAGAGAAAGACGGUAGAUCAUUUACCGCCUUUAAAGAAAAAGGAAAAAAAGAUAAAUGAUUCAUCAUUUUCUAAAUUCUAUUAAAGACGGUAAAUAAUUGACCGUCUCUCAAUUAUAUUUCUAACCCGACGAUGAGUUGGAUAAAAUAAGGUUAUUUGGCCAAAUAAAUUUUUUAUAAGGUUGUUUGGCCAAUUAUAAAUUUUUAACGGAUUAAAAUUAAAAAAAGUUCGAAA